rnacentral:rRNA from 1 species
UACAGAGGUCUCGAGCGUUAGGCGGAAUCACUGGGCUUAAAGCGUGUGUAGGUGGAUCGUUAAGUACCUUGUGAAAUCCCACGGCUUAACCGUGGAACUGCUUGGUAUACUGGCGGUCUUGAGCCAGCUAGGGGCUACCGGAACAAAUGGUGGAGCGGUGAAAUGCGUAGAUAUUGGGAAGAACACCGGUGGCGCAAGCGGCUUGCUGGGCUGUAACUGACACUGAGGAACGAAAGCUAGGGGAGCAAAUGGG